rnacentral:tRNA from 4 species
AGGCACGUACGUCAAUGGUAGACGGCUUCCCUUACAAGGAAGAGGUUGGGGGUUCGAGUCCCUCCGUGCCUACCA